rnacentral:rRNA from 1 species
ACGAUAGCGAACAAGUACCGUGAGGGAAAGUUGAAAAGCACUUUGAAGAGAGAGUUCAAGAGUACGUGAAACCGUUUAGGGGUAAACCUGAGAAACCCGAAAGGUCGAAGGGAGAAAUUCAUUCGCGUUUCGCAGUCGGCGUGAGACGAUCGAGUGACGGAAUCCGUCCUUGGACGUUUUCUGCACCUUUUGUUUUUCGAUCCGAUAGCGAACGCGUGCACUUUUCUCCUGGUAGGACGUCGCGAUCCGUUGGGUGUCGGUCUACGGCUCACGGUGGAGCCCGGAUGUGCGGCUUGCCGUCACGUCCGGACCCGUGUGUCCCGGCUGACUCGCUCGACGGUAUACGAAAGGUUUGAGGCCGCUCUCGCGAGCGUUCGGCUCGUCGCAAGCGCGUCAAAUGUGUCGGUGAUCGGACCUAGUGCCGGUUCUGACCUUUGGCGACUGUUGG